CAGAACCUGGCUGAAGAUGAACAACUCCCAGGGAGACUUUGGAGGGAAAAGCAAGAAACCUGGGCCUCCUCCCCUCCCGCUCCACCCUCCCUACUCCCUGAUCCCUUACAGAGGGAGGUGGAGGUCUGAGGAGGGUAAGAGCUUGUGAGUGUGGCUGCGCCCCCUGCUAAGGUGCUGAGAAUCCACAGCUCUUUCCAUCCUCCGCUCCUCCCUCCCCAAUGCCCAUCAGGUGCUCACUCAGAGGUGGUGCCGGGCGAUUUCAUAAGAAGGGCAGCAGACAGAGUCUCGGGGAAUAGUCCAAGGAGAAAGAUUCUGAAGCUGGAGCCCACUCCAAAUCUCAGGAGAGAGAAGGUCCUGAGUGGGACGGGGAGUGUGGAAAAGAAGGCCCAGAAGGAAAUACCACCCAUCCCAGGAAGACAAAAACAUGAAGUUUUAGAACUGGCAGGCUCCGAAUUCAAAGGUAAACAGCCCAUUCUAUGUUUCUUCUUCUUCCUUCUCUCCUUCCUUCUUCUCCUUUCCUGUCUCACCUUGCACUUCCCCUGUCUCUGUUCUCAGCCUCCUCUAUUUUUCCUUGCUUCUGGUGGCAUCUAUACCUCCCAGAACAUCAGAUUCAAAGGCAAAAUUGUUAGUGACUCCCAGCAUUGCUCUCAUAUCAAAUGACCAGGCAAAUUGAGGCUGUUGAGACAUCUGGCACAUUUAGGAAUUGCUUGUGUCUCAGUCUCACUCUGGUACACACACUCACACUCACACUCAGACACUAACUCACACACAGUCACACACUCAGACACUAACUCACAUACACUCACACACUCACAUACACACAUUCACAUACACUCACACGCACACACACUCACACUCACACUCAGACACACACAGUCACACACUCUCACACACUCACACACACUCAGAUGCUAACUCAUACACUCACAUACACACAUUCACAUACACUCACACGCACGCACACACACAUUCUCACACACAGUCACACACAGUCACACACUCACACACACUCAUAUGCACGAGUGCAAGCUCUCUUCACUCUCAUCUCCAU
rnacentral:lncRNA from 1 species